rnacentral:rRNA from 1 species
UACGUAGGUGGCAAGCGUUAUCCGGAUUUAUUGGGCGUAAAGGGAACGCAGGCGGUCUUUUAAGUCUGAUGUGAAAGCCUUCGGCUUAACCGGAGUAGUGCAUUGGAAACUGGGAGACUUGAGUGCAGAAGAGGAGGGUGGAACUCCAUGUGUAGCGGUGAAAUGCGUAGAUAUAUGGAAGAACACCAGUGGCGAAAGCGGCUCUCUGGUCUGUAACUGACACUGAGGCUCGAAAGCGUGGGGAGCAAACAGG